UGCGGUGUCCGGGGAAGGGCCCCACCAAGAAAAGAGAACCUAAUUAUACUCACCAAAAAUAAAAAGAAAAAAACUAAUUAAGUGAAUCUUUCAUCAGUGAAAAUAACUUGGAAAUCACUAUAUGUCUAAAGCAAAGCAUCAUCAUCAGGUCCAGCAAGAAUUACCUGCAAAUUAAAAAAAAAAAAAAACAAUUAAAUUUGCCUUAGUAGGCGUUUAGACAUGCGAUGGCAGAAUGCUGUUGCACUCAUUCCAUGUUGCUCGGACUUUUCAAAUAUGUUGACGGAUGUGUGUUAGAUCCACUAAAAAUAGUGUUUUUUUAAAGGAUCCAACACCAGUGCGGCAGCAUUUCUGGAGAGUCCAAGCAACAACUCACUAUGCCUUAGCGACACUAGUUGUUUAACUUUUGUUAUUAUGGGAUUGGGGCACAGUGGAUAGAGUAAUGUAUAACUUAGAAAAGAUUCGCAGAUGAAGUUGAAACAAACAGAAGCUACUUACAUUGCAGUCCAUGGCGUAUUUCCGAGCUGCCAUAAGGGCUCCGUUUCUUUCUUUCUCGGAUUCAAAUACUAACACAAAGGAAUGUCCUUUCCUAGGUAGCCAAAACAGUGACUUUGCGGCAGAAUUACCCCCUCCUCUAAAUCCACAUAGCUGAAAUGAAAAGUGUUUUGAGGGAUUAGAUAUGAAUGAUUGUUGCUUCGUAUUUGGUGUGGACAAUGUGAGGAAAUAGUGACUAACUCAAACUGAAUAGUCAACACUGGUAGCCAGCUAUUGGAGCGUGAAUGAACUACUUUCUUAACUAUCUUUUCACCAAGUACCUGCAUAGAUCCAGAAUACGAAUCUCUAGCUUUUGUAAUCCAUCCUUUGCCCAACUUCAGCUUUGUUUUCCCGACAUGGAAGCAGUGUGCAGAACGUGAUGAAUAGUUCCGUCCAUUCAUCUGCGCAAUAACCACCUGGAAAAAAAAUGAUAACCUGAUUACCAUAAAGUAGACAACAGAUGAACUACACAAUUUAAUUUACAUCUGCACAAAUAUGAACUGAUGUGAAUGCUAUGGAAGGUGUGCAUGCAAGAUAUAUAGAGGAGAAGUUUUAGAGCAAAGGAUCCUGAACGAAAGAACAUGAACCAAAAGUACAGCUUCCUUUGUAUCUUAAGCGACAAAGUAUUAGAUACAGAAAUCGUAUUGGAAAACUUACACUGAAUUCAAUGUUUGACUUCCGGAAAAGUGUCUCAACAUAACUCCCCAAUCCAGAUUCUGUAAGAAUUGAGUAACAAGAAUUCAUUUUUCGUCAUAAAAAAGACAGUACGGGGAAAAUUCUAUGACAAAGCAACAUUUAGAAGUGAAUAACUGCGGUCCGGGCCUAACCUGGAUCUAUAGGAGCAGUAGUUGCAACUUUAUAUCCAGGUUACACUUUUCAAAUGUGGCUAUUUGUAUGUGUGCUUUUCAUAAUAAUUGCUGACGGGGCCACGUUGUACUGCCUCGCCCGAGGUAGAGGUAGCUUCCAAAUUCUUACCACCACCUAUUCCUUAUGUUUCAAACGAACCAACGUUGCAGUCUCAGUUUGUCCACUUCUUGUGUACUGUUUACCUUCGAUGCUUCUACUAUAGCAUCGCUCAGAGCUAAGGAUAGUGGUGGAAUAGAUGCCUGGAUAUGCUUGAAAGAUAAAGAGACGAGUUAGCGAUGCAGCUGCUAUCUUUUGGAUCUGUCAACUAAUUUGCAUUUGUAUUAGUUGAUGUUGAUAUUACAUUGUUGUUGUUACUUGUUUAUGCAUGUAGCUACUUCCUCUUUUUCGCUAUCCAUUCAGUUGAAGAUGUAUCGGAAACAACUUCUCAAAGAUAGGAAUAAGAUCUGUAUACACCGAGCUUUUUUUGUUGUCAAUAUAUGUGAAGUUGCACAGAAGAUAUAGUAGAAACAAAUUUCAUUAAAAUGCAAAUGGACCAAUCAAAAUUAGUAAAUUUGUUACAACCCAAAACCAGGCAAACCUAAAAAAAAAGACCAUUGCCUAGAAAGGAUGUAACUAAUUAGUGAGAAAAAAAAUUACAAUGACAAGGACAUGAUUCAUUACUAGUGCGCACACAAAUAUAACAAGAAAUUGAUCACUCACAUUUAGAAGAAGAAAGAAGAAAAGAGAACCUAAUUAUAAAAAACAAAAAAUAUAAAAAAGCAGCCCGGUGCACUAAAGCUACCGCUAUGUGCGGUGUCCGGGGAAGGGCCCCACCAAGAAAAGAGAACCUAAUUAUACUCACCAAAAAUAAAAAGAAAAAAACUAAUUAAGUGAAUCUUUCAUCAGUGAAAAUAACUUGGAAAUCACUAUAUGUCUAAAGCAAAGCAUCAUCAUCAGGUCCAGCAAGAAUUACCUGCAAAUUAAAAAAAAAAAAAAACAAUUAAAUUUGCCUUAGUAGGCGUUUAGACAUGCGAUGGCAGAAUGCUGUUGCACUCAUUCCAUGUUGCUCGGACUUUUCAAAUAUGUUGACGGAUGUGUGUUAGAUCCACUAAAAAUAGUGUUUUUUUAAAGGAUCCAACACCAGUGCGGCAGCAUUUCUGGAGAGUCCAAGCAACAACUCACUAUGCCUUAGCGACACUAGUUGUUUAACUUUUGUUAUUAUGGGAUUGGGGCACAGUGGAUAGAGUAAUGUAUAACUUAGAAAAGAUUCGCAGAUGAAGUUGAAACAAAC
rnacentral:lncRNA from 1 species